AAGUCGUAACAAGGUUUCCGUAGGUGAACCUGCGGAAGGAUCAUUAACAGUUUAUAUGUUUAUGUCUAUGUUGUUGUUGUGAUGUGUGUAACACCCUGUGUGACAAUUGCCAUUCUUCUUUCGUUUUUUGGCAAUGUCAUAUCUUUUUUUUAACCAUAUGUUUACCUGUUAUUCUUAUAUAUACCAUACCAUAUAUUUAUAUAUCGAAAACUGCCAGCAAUGGAUCACUCGGUUCUU
rnacentral:misc_RNA from 1 species